rnacentral:rRNA from 1 species
CGGACGGGUGAGUAACACGUGGAUAACCUACCUAUAAGACUGGGAUAACUUCGGGAAACCGGAGCUAAUACCGGAUAAUAUAUUGAACCGCAUGGUUCAAUAGUGAAAGACGGUUUUGCUGUCACUUAUAGAUGGAUCCGCGCCGCAUUAGCUAGUUGGUAAGGUAACGGCUUACCAAGGCAACGAUGCGUAGCCGACCUGAGAGGGUGAUCGGCCACACUGGAACUGAGACACGGUCCAGACUCCUACGGGAGGGCAGCAGCA